AUGAAGCAAUUGACCAAUAAGAAUGGAGCCUACAAGAAGAUUUGUUGAAUAGAUUAACUUUAAAUGGUAUACCACCACAUGAAUUAAACCUCAAGGCACGGACAAUUUCAAACAGCAGAUCAUAAUUCUGACAUUAGUACUGCCUCUAUUGAUCAGUUGCAUUUCAACAAGGUAUUGAGUGAAACAGAGGAAAGAUUCCACCCAGCUUCAUAAUGUGAAUAAAAAAUUCAGUCGUAUGAAGAAGCUGUUGAUAGAGGAAAAUAACCACCUUGCAAAGCAGGUAAUCCCAGCUGGUAUACAACAAUGGGUAUAUGCACCACCCAUUGCAAAGUAUACAUCAUUUAUUUAUUUAUUUAUUUUUGU